GCCUCAUGAAUUCUGGGAAAUGUAUGGUGCAUGAUUUUGAUAGAAAGGCUGCCGUCGUAAACAAAUUAGAGAAGCAAGAAGAAACUAUGUUAGACCUAAGAAAAAGGGGAAGAGUUCAUGACUGAAAAAUAGAGAUGUUCACAGAAGGAAUCAUAAGAGAAAAGGAAAAUUCAUGAACAAUCCUACACCAAAUCUGAAGUAGCUGAGCACUGUGCCCAUUCCAUGUAGCAGAAGAACAUCCAGGUAAGAACCCAAUGCAUCAACUAAGGGACUUGCUGGAAGUCAUUUAACUUCUUCAUGAUGUCACCUUUAAUUUCAAAGCCAUGCAGUCAUUUGAAGCUGACUUUUGUGAAUCUUAAAAUUUCUCAGACUUGUGAAUGUUAAAAAAUUCUCAGACCCUACUUCAGAAGAUUUGGUUAAGACCAUUCCCCAUUUUAAACAAUGAAGGGACUUAGUCAGGAA
rnacentral:lncRNA from 1 species